GUUUGCAGGCUUUAACUAUUUUUUUUUUUUUCAUACCGGGGAUCGAACUCGGGUCCUUGCACUUGCGCAGCAGGCCGCAAAACCACUGAGCUAAAUCCCGGGCCCGGCUUUAACUAUUUUUAACUACAGCCAUCUGCAAACCAAGCUAGAAACUGGAGACACCUUUGAGAAAAGGCUGGUGUGCUAUCCUAUUGCCAACAAAUCUCUGGGUGUUUUGGAGGACAUCUGGGGACAGUCAAGCACUGUCAAAUUGCUCCGAAUGGCUUUACGUGGAUUUGUAGGGCUGUUCUGCGAGCCUGGGAGACAGAGCCACCAUUGCCACUCUCUGUAAGAGUCUUCCAUGAGCUGGGCAUGUAGCUUUGUGGUAGCAGGCACAAGGCCUGGGUUCUAUCUCCAGUACUGAAAAACAACAAUAGCAACAACAGAAGUCUUGUGUGUGACCGCAGAAAUCAGAAAGCCAGGUUUCCCAGCUGGCAGUAUUAACAUACCCAGAAAAGAUGAGUUUUCCGUGUAGGUGGCCUGUUUUCCAGCAGGUGGUCACAGAUUGAUACAGGGCAGCUAGAAACAGAAAAACAAUCCUGUUAACUAAUCACUCAGAUAAGAUCAAUAUCUCUGGUUGCCAAGAUUAUCCAGGUGGUCACUCGCGUGGUCCAUUGUGGAAGAAACCCUCAAAUAGCCUUUUUGCCCUUAACAAUAGCAGGUGACAGGUGAUUAAGGUGUGUCACUGUGUCCCUCUCAGGUCCUUGCCUGACUGGGCCAAGGUUAGGUGAAGAUCAUGUUCAGGCUCAAUGGCUCCACAGUAACAUGUGCUUUCUUCAAUCAGUUUUAGUGAGCGUGUCACUUGUGUUGCGAUGGGAAGUGACAUCCAAGGGGCAGAAGUGAUGGCAGAGGGGCCACCACUUUCCUCAUCUGCUGGAUGGAGAAGAAGAACCAAUGUGCCAAACGGAAAAUGGGUUCUGAGCCUGAAUUGGCAUCGUGUUUUGAGUCUAGGACCUUCUGCCCCUUCCAGGAAGUUUGGUGUCUUCCAAGAGCCCUCACACCUUUGGUCUCCUCACCAACAAGAAGGAGAAUUCUUACUUCAGCGUUGGACGACCUUUCCUGCAUGCCGGGGAGAAUCUAGCUGGUAGAGAACACCAGUGUACAAUGGAGAACGCACCAGCAAAGGAGGACACAGCUCCCGCUCUGUAGUUGGAUGACUGAGGCUGGAAGGACCGGGGAGACUUGAAUCCGAGCCACGUCACGGCGGGUGUGCUGCCUGUCCGCACAUCACCCUUUUCCAUACACAGCGUCGCUGUCGUGGCCAGGACCCUCUCCACGCGGCAGGCACAGCUCUGGGGAGCCUGUGAGUGCAGCCCCCACCCACCAUGGCCAGGAUCGGGAAUCAAAGUCGUGGCAAGAUGCUGGCCAGUUUGGAAGCGGUGAAGAAAACCGUGGCAGGGUGUUUCGGAGGAGGAGAAGAAGCCAAGGUGGCUGUGGAGCUCUAGGGCACCUGCAACAUCCCGUCACCCGUGUGUGCGUGUGCGUGCGCGCGCGCGCGCACAUUUGUGCCUGGGCUCCGUGGGUCCUGGGAGUGAGGGCCCAGGAAGUAGGGAGGAGGAACAUUUGCCAAGCGGGGCCAUUCUGCUCUUGGGGCUCGGUCUGCUGGUCUCUUCGGUUGUCUCAUGCCUUCAGUAGCCCCUCGGCAACCUGCCGUCUGGGGGUCUAGCCAUUGCUGUGUCCUCCUUCCUGGAGCAGCCCCGCUCUGGACAGCGCAGGCCACACCUCCUCCCUCCCCUUCGUUGGGGCCGCUGGCUGUGGUUGCUCGGUCUCCUUGGUGGACAGACAUUCUGCGUUUACGCUUUCAGGGUCUAUCAAGUGACUGGAGGGGCUUUCUGUACACAGUACCGCAGGUUUGCACUGAAUCUGCAAUCUCCUGGACUACACGUGUGCCUCCAUUCUCACAUGCCCGGCCUCUUCUUAUAUUUACUUUUCCCUUCCUGGUGAUCUCCAUCCAGUUUCCAGACUCAAACACAUCCUGUUUAAAUAGAUGACUGGGAACUUUAUAUUUCAUUGUAGCCAUCCUCUAGCUGGCUUUUCCACUAGGAAAUCUAAUGGACACCUCAAGAUGACACUGUAUAUCCACAUCCUAGUUUCCAUCUGCAGUUUCUUUCAUCUAAAUAAAUACAACUGCAUUUUUCCAGCUGCUCAAGAA